CAGAACCUCAGGAAUACACUUCUGAAGAAAGUCCACUGUCAUAGAAAUGAAAAAGUGGCUCCUCCAGAUCACCUUUCAGAGGACAUUCUAUGGUGGAUGCACAGGAGUGCUGAGUUCUGUGUCCACAGGGGCAGAAGUCUUAAGAGGAGUUCUGAAAGCUGGAGUCUAUGACGAUUUCACAUGACCCUGCAGAGGAGAACCUUAACCUGCAGGGAAAGAAGUCUGGAGUUCAUUGAGCAGAUAAUGAGAUGCCUUUGAAGUUUGGUUUGUUUUUGCUUGUU
rnacentral:lncRNA from 1 species